UGGGGAAUAUUGCACAAUGGGCGAAAGCCUGAUGCAGCAACGCCGCGUGAGGGACGACGGCCUUCGGGUUGUAAACCUCUUUUAGCAAGGAAGAAGCGAAAGUGACGGUACUUGCAGAAAAAGCGCCGGCUAACUACGUGCCAGCAGCCGCGGUAAUACGUAGGGCGCAAGCGUUAUCCGGAAUUAUUGGGCGUAAAGAGCUCGUAGGCGGUUUGUCGCGUCUGCUGUGAAAACCCGAGGCUCAACCUCGGGCCUGCAGUGGGUACGGGCAGACUAGAGUGCGGUAGGGGAGAUUGGAACUCCUGGUGUAGCGGUGGAAUGCGCAGAUAUCAGGAAGAACACCGAUGGCGAAGGCAGAUCUCUGGGCCGUAACUGACGCUGAGGAGCGAAAGGGUGGGGAGCAAACAGGCUUAGAUACCCUGGUAGUCCACCCCGUAAACGUUGGGAACUAGUUGUGGGGUCCAUUCCACGGAUUCCGUGACGCAGCUAACGCAUUAAGUUCCCCGCCUGGGGAGUACGGCCGCAAGGCUAAAACUCAAAGGAAUUGACGGGGUCAUAGCUGUUUCCU
rnacentral:rRNA from 1 species